ACAGUGCUCAGAAGGGAAAGACUCCGAUGGUUUGGACAUGUAAAGAGAGCAGGGGAGGACACAGUGCUGGGAGAGAUUGGAGGUAGGAAACAGUGCUCAGAAGGGAAAGACUCCGAUGGUUUGGACAUGUAAAGAGAGCAGGGGAGGACACAGUGCUGGGAGAGGUUGGAGGUAGGAAACAGUGCUCAGAAGGGAAAGACUCUGAUGGUUUGGACAUGUAAAGAGAGCAGGGGAGGACACAGUGCUGGGAGAGAUUGGAGGUAGGAAACAGUGCUCAGAAGGGAAAGACUCUGAUGGUUUGGACAUGUAAAGAGAGCAGGGGAGGACACAGUGCUGGGAGAGAUUGGAGGUAGGAAACAGUGCUCAGAAGGGAAAGACUCUGAUGGUUUGGACAUGUAAAGAGAGCAGGGGAGGACACAGUGCUGGGAGAGAUUGGAGGUAGGAAACAGUGCUCAGAAGGGAAAGACUCUGAUGGUUUGGACAUGUGAAGAGAGCAGGGGAGGACACAGUGCUGGGAGAGAUUGGAGGUAGGAAACAGUGCUCAGAAGGGAAAGACUCUGAUGGUUUGGACAUGUAAAGAGAGCAGGGGAGGACACAGUGCUGGGAGUUGUGGAGAGGUUGGAGGUAGGAAACAGUGCUCAGAAGGGAAAGACUCUGAUGGUUUGGACAUGUAAAGAGAGCAGGGGAGGACACAGUGC